ensembl:lncRNA
UUUUUUUUUUUUUUUGGUAGCAUUUAUCCUACUACGAGUAUCCGUCCAGAGAAUGAAUGGGCUGGGUUUAGCUGGGAACAGGGCAGAGCCAAGCAACUGGGCUGGAAUGAACCCAAAGGCACAAAAGGGUGGAGAAGGACAGAGAUAAGGAGACCGACAAAGGCAUGAAUGUUCCCAGGUGCUCACAGCUGCAAGGAGUGGGGCUGCAGGAUGCACUUUGACCCCCUAGGAGUGCUGCAGAUAAGCAGGGAUAAGACAAGAAAUCCCUGAGUCCUGAGUAGCUAGUCGGUGCUGGGAGAAGGAAGGAAGGGCAGGUGACAGGUGGGGAAAGCUCAUGGAAGCCCAGCCCAUGGACUCUGGCAGUCAGCAGGUGUAAGAGGGAUAAAAGGUAUAUGUAUAAAUGAACCACUGUGCUAUACACCUGAAACUAACACAUUAUAAAUCAUCAAUUAAAAAAUAAUAAUUAAAAUAUAAAAAUAAAAGACAUGGGAAGCUUCACAAUAAAAUUAUAGGAAAAAACGCAUCAAAUAAAGAAUAGGGGAGUUCCUGUCGUGGUGCAGUGGUUAACGAAUCCGACUAGGAACCAUGAGGUUGCGGGUUCGAUGCCUGGCCUUGCUCAGUGGGUUAAGGAUCCAGGGUUGCCAUGAGCUGUGGUGUAGGCUGCAGACUCGGCUCAGAUCCCGUGUUGCUGUGGCUGUGGCGUAGGCCAGUGGCUAUGGCUCUGAUUUUACCCCUAGCCUGGGAAUCUCCAUAUGCCGUGGAAGCGGCUCUAGAAAAGGCAAAAAGACAAAAAAAAUAAAUAAAUAAAAGUAUAGAGACCGAAAGUAUACAACUUGCUACAUUUCCAUAAAAAGAAGACACAGAGCCAUAAAUUUUCCUCAUGAGAACUUCCAGCCACUCUCUUUCCCAAAGAAUAACCAUUAUUUAAGUUUCUAAUGCUAUGAAUUCAUUUUGUCUGUUUUUGAACUGGUUAUUAAUGGAAUCACAUAGUGAAGGACGAGGGAGAGGGGGAGGGAGAGGGGAGGGAGAGGAAGAAGAAGGAGAAGAAGGCUAGGGAUAAAAGGAAUGGUCCCCAAAGCACACUUUUCCUUGGAGAAAUUAGGAGAAAAAGACCUGUUGGGAGGUAUAGAAUCCCAGUACCCUUAUAAGGAGGAGACUUUCCCAAGACCAAAAAGACCUAGUGCUGUAGGGUGUACAGAGGGAGAAAGUAAGAAACUGAAAUUCUAAGCUUGGAGGUCCCGAGAUAUUCUCUCCUUGGUAUGUUGUUUGGGGAAAGGUGAUGUGUAGGCACCUGUGCGUGGCGUAGGCACCUGUGCGUGGCUAGGCCAGAAGGCACAGGUCUCCCAGCGCUUCCAGAGCUCAGAAAGCUGUGGUCCUCACCCAUCAUUUCGAAUCCAGACCCGGAGACCCAAGUUCUGAUAUGUAGACACAGUCUCAGGGAACAGCUCAAAGUGUUAAAAAUUGGGACUGACCAAGACAUGGGGGACCAAGCAUCAGUCACCUGCUCAUGGUGGGAGAAAGUGACAUUCAAAAUUUAGAAGGCAAAAGAAUCAUGUAUGGGGGGCGGUUAGACAUGUGUUGUUGGUUCAAUGCCAGUUCCUAGGCGUUGGGGUAGGACUGAAUGGAGUCCAGAGAUCUGUGCCUUAAACUAACGUUCCUGAUGAUUCUGCUAUAAGUGACCAAUAGGCUGCCCUUUGAGAAUCGUGUGUGCUGUGUGUUUGGUGAGACCUCUGGAUAGCGUGGUGACCCUAGAAGUUGAGUCUGACACUCACAUACACCUGAUGUGGAGCUCCUGGGAAGGUCCUGGCCAUGCCAGAGUCCGGGCUUAUGAGCCCAUCUAUAGAGGCUGUGUCUGGGGCCAACCCUCAGAGUGUAGCUUGCAGACUUCCAAUUACUGGGCCAUAAUUAACCAAGGGUCCCAGUGCUGUGUCUGAAACCUACAGCUACAUUUGUACCAAAUCGCCCUUCCCGCAGGCCGUUCCUGGGGAGUGACCAGGCACACGGGAAUACAAAGACACACCCAGUCCUGGGAUACCCAGACUCCUCUGACGGCUGACUUUGGCCUUGCUGAACCUUCCUUAGCCGGUAGGGUUGAACCUUCCUUAGCCGGCAGGGUUGUCCAAGANNNNNNNNNNNNNNUUCCCUUGGGGUCAGGCAUGCAGAGUGGGAUAGCCUUCCAGCCUUCGCUGACUCCCUAUCCAUUUUAUUCUACCCACACAGUUCCCCUGGUACAAUUCUUGCAACUUUUAAAAUUUUUUGGCUGUGCCUGUGGUAUGCAAAUUUCCCGGGCCCAGGUCUGAACCCACGCCACAGCGAUGACAACACCGAAGUCCUUAACUGCUAGGCUACCAGGGAAUUCCUGCUCCUUGCAAUUUAAUCACGUCUUACCACCUGCUUCUCAGAGGACCUGCACUAACACAAUGGCCCCAAAUACCCCCCUUGAAAUAUCCAUUCUGUGGCUAUUACCAGGUCAGAACACGGGCCAUGUUUCUAGAAGGCCUGUGUGGCUUGACCCACAACAAGGAGGCCCAAGCCAUCCUGGAUGGUGUUGGCUUAUGAAAUGGCCCUGAGCUUGGAGGGGCACCCAGGACUAAGAGAGCACUGGUGACAGAGCCCUGGGGGCAGUGUUGGAGCGGGAGGUCCAUCUUCCUGGGACCUGCCCUCAGAAUGACAAGUGGGAUCCUAUCACCCAGGCAGAUAACCUCAGACCUUCAGGAAACCACAAAAGGGGGUCUGGGGAGAUAAAGCAAGAACCUUGGCAGGAACCACACCUUUCUUCUGCACCCUCACCUCCCAGAGGACAGAAGCCCCAGGGACCAUAGGUGGGCCUAGGGGUGGCCUCACCCCGGAGCUGGGCUCGGCUUUCCUAGGCUGGCACAUCAACAGGAGAUGCCAACCUUGGAGGGAGAAAGACAGGGUUGCCUCCAGAAAUGCAGAACAAGGAAGGACUCGUCUGUAAGCCAAAGGGAAUAAUUUGAAAGGGGAGCUGGGAAGAGGAAGAUCAAUUUUUUACCACCCAAAUGAUGCCAGGUGCUGGCGGGGAGGCAGGGCUCUCCUGGAUCACUCCAACAAGCCCAGGAAACACUUUUCCUCUCACGGCUGUGUGACUUGCAAUCUGUGUGUUUGCUACACAAAUGCCAGUCCUUCUCUUGAUAGGUGAGCUGGAUUGGGUGAUGGGCCAGCUCUGCUGUGGGCAGGAACAGGCUUGCAGUUUGCAUGGCAGUACGAGAAGUGAAAGACACCUCUUCCCUCUGCGGGUCAAAGAUGCAUUUUCCCUGAACAAUCUCAUUCCUUCUAAGGAAAUCAAUGUGUGAGUGUGAGUAUGUGAGGGUGUGUCUAUGUGCGUGUGUGUGUUUUCAAGCUCCCCAGCUAUAGGCUCCACCCUGCAAAGACCGUGAAUGGAGCAGUCAGCCCACUGAAUCCACUGAUUGGAGAUCAGUCACGCAGUGCUUGGGGAGGGGGCGGAUCUGAGGACUUGGCCCAGGAGGGGAGAGUGAGGUGAGAAGAAGGGGUGCGGGCUGGCCCAAGGGUCUUCUUGGGGACUGUUCUCUGCUCUGGAGGAGCAACAGUUUAGAAAUUUAAAAAAAAAAAAAAAAGGAAUUCCUGGAGUUCCUGUUGCGGUUCCGCACAUUAAGAACCCGACAAGUAUCCAUGAGGAUGUGGGUUUGAUCCCUGGCCCUGCUCAGUGGGUCAAGGAUCUGGCAUUGCUGUGAGCUGUGGUGUAGGUCACAGAUGUGGUUCGGAUCCUGCAUUGCUGUCGCUAUGGCAUAAGCGGGCAGUUGCAUCUCCAAUUCGACCCCUAGCCUGGGAACCUCCAUAUGCUGCAGGUGCAGCCCAAGGGGAACCCCAAAAAAAAAAAAAAAAAAAAAAAAAAAAAAAAAAAAAGGAAGAAAUUCCCUCCCACUGCACUGAGGUCCUCUUAAAAUUUUCCAGUGCUGAUGGACCCAUAGAGCUUCAAGCGACCCUGUGGUGGAGAAUAACCAGGUGGCGGGGGUGGGGGUAGGGAGGCUGCCCCCCAGGAGUGUCCAGGUCCUUCCUGGGCGCUUCUUCCUAGAUUCAUACCCAGUGAGCUGGGCCCAGGCAGACUUUGGCCUGUGGCAGGGCUGGAAGCAGCAGCCAGGAGUGUGAGGCGGGGGGCCGGGGAUAACCGAGCAUGAGAGAGCCCCUAGAGAGACUGGUCAUCCGUGUCACAUGUAAGUCACAGCCUGUCCUGCCUUCUUGGCUUCAGACCCUCAAAUGCUCCCCUAGCUCUCAGAGAAAAAGCUGAGGCAUUUACAGCGGCCUGCGGGGCUGGUCUGGGUAGGCUGUGUCCCUCAAAAAAGGUAAGUUGGAGUCCUAGCCCCCAGCACGUCAGCACGUGGCCUUAUUUGGAGACAGGGUCUUUGCGGAGGCCAGCCAAAAAGCAGGGCAUCAGGCUAGGCCCUAAUGGCGAGGGGAAGUUUGGGCACCGAUACAAAAACCAGGAGAAUGACAUGGGAGCCUGGCCCUGCUGACACCUGCCUUGCAGACCUCCGGCCUCUAGAACUCCAUACAUGGCUGUGGAUUAAGCCUGCCAGCUUUGCGACCCUCACAAACCAGCACAAAGGCCCAGGCCAUCUGCCCCCUGUACUCUCCCCCCAGCCCGGCCCACCUCCCGCUCUGCAGACUCACGGGGGCGCCUCCACCUCAGGGGCCUCGCAGAGCUGUUCCCUCUGCCUGGAACAUUCUUCCUCCCCUCCCUCAAGUCUUUACCAAAAACGUGCUCUCCUCACCACCCGCUACAAAGCGAACCCGUCCCUCCACUCGUAGCUUGAGUUCCUUACACGGCUCUUUUCCUUCCUGGCGCUGAUCACCUUCUAACAUACCGCUGACUUUCCUGAAUUAUUACCUUUAUUGAUUCUUGUUUGCCAGCCUCCCAUGAGAAGUCGCCCUCUUACUCGGGGAGAGAUUUGUCUCUUUGGUGUCCCAGUGUGUCCCAAGUGCCUAGCACAGUGUCUGGCACACAGAAGGCACGCCCUACCUGAGUGAAUGCAUGAUGUGGAGCAGCUUGUGUGUGCAUGUGUGUGUGUGUGCGUGGGUGUGCGUGCGCACACUUCAGUGCUUGAUGACAUGUCCACCCCAUGCUAAGUGCUGCCUGACGCCUCCGAUGUUCUCCAUAACCCACAGUGUAAGAACCACAGUCUUCAUUCUACAUAAAUGAGGCAACAAGACUCAACAGAGGUUCACCACCUCGCCCAGGCUACUGCGAGCCAGACCGUCGGGGUCCACGGUCACUACUGCUCGAUGCUGUACUGGCUCCUCGCUGGGUGUUGGCAGGGGCCCCGUCUGGGAGAGAACGGUCCUCACCUGGUUUCCCAGGGAUCGGGGGUGGGGGCCCAGGGCAGCGCCCUCUCCACUGCCCAAGGAAAGCAUUCCUAGAGUGACCCUGAGCCACGGCUGGCCCCUGCCCAGCUGGUUAUCUCUCCAGCGUCCAGGCUUGGCUCCCCGGCCAUCAGCUGGGUCCAGAUCACCCUGGAUCUGCCACUCACACGUGUGCCAGGGAGGGUGACAGAAAGAGAAGACGAGAGAGGGCAGCGAACGAGGGCAGGGAGGAGCAGGCGAUUGAAAUCCUAGACGUGCCGAGAGCCAACUGGGCCGGGAGGCUGGUGUUACUGGCUGUGCUCAGCGGGCACCCAGUGGGCAGCGAUCCCAGGGCCCCGCCCCCUGGGCCGGGGUAGAAGGGCCGCGACUGUAGCUCUGUAGUUGUAUUGUGAUGGCGAAGGAGGAAACAAGAGCAGCUGAUCCAGCCUGGGUCGGGAGUGCCCACGUGCACACAGACAGGCCUUUGUGUCCUGGGCCCAGACAACAGGCCACAUUCUUCCCCCACCUCAGUGACGUCUUUCACGGACAUGUCCCCCAGAGCGCAUUUUCAAAGGCUUAAUCAGCUAUGGAUCAGAUGACACGGCAUUCCCUCUGCUACCCCCUUGGGCGGCAUCUUCUCUUUGUCGUGCGACCCCAGCCCUGCCCUUGAUCUGCUGCUUACAGGGGUCCUUGCACAGCUGCAGGCCCCAGGAUCUCAGGCACAGGGGUUCAGCAAGUCCAGCCCCUGUUUUAAGGGAGAGGCACUGGAGUCAGAGAGAGAGCCACACAGGGCCCGGGGCUCCUGCCCCCAGGGCAGUGUCCUCCCUGGAAGCAGGGCCAAGCUGCCCCAGGAACCUGGCUGUUACAGCAGCCUCGCCUUGGGGCCUGGACCACCUCCCAGAGCAGCCCGAGGGGAAGGGGCUUCUUUAUGAAGAUAGAGUUCUCACCAGGGGGACUCCCAGCCCUGCCUGACUGGUUUCCAAAGCAGGUGGCUUUCCUUGCUCAAGUCCCAUGCAGGAGACAGGUCACUCCCAGGAUGACGCUCGUCUGGCUAUGGGGCCCUGAGGGAUCAGUCACCUCUGCAGUGCACUCUCUCUGGAUGUCAAACCAUCCCUCAAUACUGAUGAGGCUCCUGCUGUGGACUGAAUGUUUGUGUCUUUCUCAAAUUCAUAUAUUGAAGCCCUAGCCUCCAAUGUGAUGGCCUCUGGGGGUGGGGUCUUUGGGAGGUAACUGGGUUUAGAUGAGGUCAUGAGGGUGGGGUCCCUGCGAUGAGAUUUGUGCCUUUUGGGCUGCACCUCCCAGGCCUGCAAGGCUUGUGCUUCUCAGCUUCAGAACCUAAGAGCCCAGAGUCAGCAACAGAAACAUCAAUGUUUAACAAGUAGGAGGAGCUUACGUGUCUGAAAUAAGGUCCUGGAGCGACACCCCACUCUGUGUGGCAGAGGGCAGGCAGGACAUGGCACAGGAUUUGCUCCCAGAGGGUGGGGGGAGACAGCCAGUCAUUGGGGGGAACUGACAUCAGGUGGGCUCACCUGUAGAUGGGGUGCCCUUUGCCAGUCUUUUAAUAAGAACAGUUGCGAGCUGGGGCCUGGGCAGGUAUGUCCG